rnacentral:rRNA from 1 species
UACGGAGGAUGCAAGCGUUGUUCGGAAUUACUGGGCGUAAAGCGCGUGUAGGCUGCUUUGCAAGUCGGAUGUGAAAGCCCUGGGCUCAACCUAGGAAGUGCACUCGAAACUGCAAAGCUUGAGUCUCGGAGAGGAUCGCGGAAUUCUCGGUGUAGAGGUGAAAUUCGUAGAUAUCGAGAGGAACACCGGUGGCGAAGGCGGCGAUCUGGACGAUGACUGACGCUGAGACGCGAAAGCGUGGGGAGCAAACAGG